UACGUAGGGUGCAAGCGUUGUCCGGAAUCAUUGGGCGUAAAGAGCGUGUAGGCGGCCCGAUUAGUCCGCUGUGAAAGUCCAGGGCUCAACCCUGGAAUGCCGGUGGAUACUGUCGGGCUAGAGUCCGGAAGGGGCGAGUGGAAUUCCUGGUGUAGCGGUGAAAUGCGCAGAUAUCAGGAGGAACACCAAUGGCGAAGGCAGCUCGCUGGGACGUGACUGACGCUGAGACGCGAAAGCUAGGGGAGCAAACGGG
rnacentral:rRNA from 1 species